rnacentral:rRNA from 1 species
UGCCUACGGGGGGCAGCAGUGGGGAAUAUUGGACAAUGGGGGGAACCCUGAUCCAGCGACGCCGCGUGAGUGAAGAAGUAUUUCGGUAUGUAAAGCUCUAUCAGCAGGGAAGAAAGAAAUGACGGUACCUGAAUAAGAAGCCCCGGCUAACUACGUGCCAGCAGCCGCGGUAAUACGUAGGGGGCAAGCGUUAUCCGGAUUUACUGGGUGUAAAGGGAGCGUAGACGGCGGUGCAAGUCUGGAGUGAAAGGCAGGGGCCCAACCCCUGGACUGCUUUGGAAACUGUAGUGC